CUGCCACCCGUUAUAUGAGAAAGGUCAGAAGAUGUUCCCAUGACACAUACUCUCUGUUGAAGCAUUAGAUGAAACCAUAAUAUUUACUGCUGCACAUUUGCUCACUGUCAGUAUAAUAUAUUUCAAAGCAGCGUCCUGCUAUGAUGGCGAGGGGAAGGGAGAAACCAGGAAGGGAAAGUGUCAAGGUUUAUUCGGUGUGUCAGCUAAAAAGGGCAACAAGCAACUCACUUGUUUCUAGAAUACCCUUGUGAGUGAGGUGAAUUACACUGAAACUUGUUUUGAAAUAAAGAAAUUGCUGCUUGAGAAAGCAGCGUCAUGGCACUGGGAACAAAUAUUAACAAAUAAU
rnacentral:lncRNA from 1 species